GUAAGGAAUAUUGGACAAUGGACGCAAGUCUGAUCCAGCCAUGCCGCGUGAAGGAUUAAGGUCCUCUGGAUUGUAAACUUCUUUUAUAAGGGAAGAAAAAAGGCUUUUCUAAGUCGUCUGACGGUACCUUAUGAAUAAGCACCGGCUAACUCCGUGCCAGCAGCCGCGGUAAUACGUAGGGUGCAAGCGUUAUCCGGAUUCACUGGGUUUAAAGGGUGCGUAGGCGGGCAAGUAAGUCAGUGGUGAAAUCCUAGAGCUUAAAUCUAGAACUGCCAUAGAUACGAUGUGUCUUGAAUAUUGGGGAGGUAAGCGGAAUAUGUCAUGUAGCGGUGAAAUGCUUAGAUAUGACAUAGAACACCUAUUGCGAAGGCAGCUUACUACGGAUAUAUUGACGCUGAGGCACGAAAGCGUGGGGAUCAAACAGGAUUAGAUACCCCAGUAGUCC
rnacentral:rRNA from 1 species